rnacentral:ncRNA from 1 species
CUAGGCUGCGUCCCGUCGCUGCAAAAUCAGCGACCGGGUGUGAGAACCCGUUUG